AGAAGAUCCUGGCAGGGGAGAUACCAUGAUCACAAAGGUGGUUUUCCCAGGGCGAGGCUUAUCCAUUGCACUCCGGAUGUGCUGACCCCUGCUAUUUCCCCAAAUGUGGGAAACUUGACUGCAUAAUUUGUGGCAGUGGAGGACUGCGUUCGCACUCCCCUG
rnacentral:snRNA from 1 species